UACGGAGGGGGCUAGCGUUGUUCGGAUUUACUGGGCGUAAAGCGUGCGUAGGCGGUUCGCUAAGUCGGUUGUGAAAUCCCUGGGCUUAACCUGGGAACUGCAGUCGAUACUGGCGGACUAGAGUACGGUAGAGGGUGGCGGAACUCCGGGUGUAGCGGUGAAAUGCGUAGAUAUCCGGAAGAACACCGAUGGCGAAGGCAACCACCUGGGCCUGUACUGACGCUGAGGUACGAAAGCGUGGGGAGCAAACAGG
rnacentral:rRNA from 1 species